rnacentral:lncRNA from 1 species
AAUAUCAAACUUAAAGUUGUCCAACACAAAAAAAUACAUAUAAUUGAUUUAACGGAAAAUAACUAAAACUAAACUUCACUGGAUUUCAAAGAUUCUUUGAUAGUGGCUGCUUGAGAUCCUAAUCCAAAUAUGUUUCCCUUCUUGUUAAUGCCUCUAACCACUUCAUGUAUAUACUAUCAUCAUGAUUGUUGGCUAUGUUGUCUGCUAUCCUCACCUCUUUGAGAGUUUCUCUCAAACAAUUUAGUUUAUGCAGAUCAAUCUCCUCUCAUCAUAUGUAGAGAAGCAACUCUUAGCUCUUCCUCUAGCUCUACCAAAGUUUAUGCAACUCUGUGAGACCAAUUCAAAAUCAAAUAUUAGCAAUUAGCAUAAUAUGUGCAUGAAUUAACUACAUUGUUGUCAAAUUAUAUAAGUGUAGGAACUAACUAACAUUAUGUGAAUUAAAAAUAUAGAAUUUGAAAGAAACUGACAAGUUUUAAUGGCAUAACUUUUAAGUUGGUCUGAAACAAAUUUUCCUUCCUGUAUCCUUCACUUGGUCAUGGAACUCUUUGGGAAGUCUAGAGUAUAAAUUUGAAAAAGUGUUUAGGUUUAUUAAAAUAAUAUAAUCAAAUGAUAGGAUACUUACCAAAUGACAUGAUGUGGAGGUUAGAAUCAAAUCAUUGUCUACUAUCGAUCAAUUAUAUGUUAGGCGCUUGUGGUAUAAUUAAAACUAGUUUUGGGAUACAAAUUAUUGACCAGAAAGAAGCACAGAUAAUUAAAUAUUGGAACAUGACAAUAUUCAAUAUAUAGUUUUCUACAUUUGUAAUAUUGGCAUGCUGAAUUUAUUAGAUGUUGGAUAUCAGUUCAAGAAAUUGUGCAUCACUCUAGUCCUUGAAAACUAUAACAUUCAGUUUCUUCACUGCAAAUAGAUACAAGGAUCAUUCCAAAGAUUUUAAGCAUGUGAAGCACCAAUAAAAAAAAAACCCAUUAUCUUGAGAAUGAGAGAGAUAAACGACACUUACAAGGUAAAACUAAAACUAAAAUUGAUUUCAGACUUUAUAGAAAUGAGCAAACAAAAACACACAAAUUUGACACUCACAUUUUCCACAAAGUUAAAGUAGUCAUAGACACAAACAAACAAAUUCCACUAGUCUUACAUGUACAAGGUUCACCAGAAGCAGAGUUACUGGCCAUACCUGCUCUGUUGCUUCACUCUUCCACACACUCACUUUGCAUAAAUCCUUCAAAUAAUCUGUCAAAAGAGAAACAUCAUUUACAAUAGGAAAAAGAAAAAAAGAAUCAAUAAUUAAAGAAAAGAUAAAAAGGGAUAUCUACACAUGUAGCUUCAAAACAAAACUUAGAAACAAUAAGCAUAAUAGUUUAUUUAUGGAAGUCACAAUAGUAAAAACCCAACAUGAGCAAAAUAGAAUCUCUAGAACAUGAAAGGAACACAACUUAUCAAAGUUCCUAUUAAGAGAGUGAAGGCAAUGCCACAAAACAUAAGGUAUCAAGCAUAAGAUCAAAACAUGAUAUAUAUCAAUGCUAAAGGAUACAUGUCAUAUACUAGCAUAUAUUAGCAUUCAAAUUGAUAACAAUCCUAAAUAAUCAGAUCCCUUCACUCAUAGUUCAAUCUUAUUAAUUCCAAUACAUAUAAUAACUAGACAGCCUAAUGCAACUUCAGUAUGACAUCAGUUAAAGUUAACAAAGGUAUGCUGUAUCAAACAAUACUAAAAAAGACAACAGAGACAAUCAUUAUAUUGUUUAUUUAUGUUUGUCAGUUAUGAACAGUGGAGGUGGCUUUAUCUAAUUUAUAGUACAGAGAACUCUGGAACAUUAGAUCAGGUUCAAACUCAUAGUCAAUAAUAUAUAGGUCACUUUGUUGGUGAUAAGGUGGCAUUGAGUUCCUUUACCAGAAGCAGGAGCAAUGGAAAUCAUAACAUGCAGUGGAUCUUCUGUCUACGCCAUUUCCAGAUUUGGCAAGUCCAUAUUGUUGUCUCAAGCUCCCUAAAUUGUCUAGAGCUCUUUCAAACAAGCAGAAUAUCUCAUCCUUCACAGCUAAUGAUCUGCAAUACAUUGACCACUCAAACAUUAAUUUAGACAAACAAGGUAGAUACAUGAUAAUAAAAUCAAUAACAAAAUUAGAAUCAUUGCAAUCUAGUACUGGUCUAGCUAACAUGUCACAUAGACACUACAAUCAACCACCUCAGAUAAGAGAGCCUUUAACUUAUGAAGUUAUUUGUAUGAUUGCCGAGAGAUAUCAUAAGGUAUCAUGAGACAAGCAAAGUAAAACAGGGGAAAUCAUAAGGUAUCAUGAGAGAUCAAAACAUUUUAUAAAAUAUUAUCGGUGGAAAAUGAAUUAACGAAACUUGAUCAAAACAAUGUUGCUCAUCAUAUGUCAAAACCAAUCCAAUAAUCAAUAAACCAUCUUCCCACAUUCUAAAUUUAAUUCACCUAGAUUUUCAUAUCAAAAUGCUUUUUUUUUUUCAAUCAAAACAAGGUUGAAACUUCACUAACCUCUAUCCCACUUUCAGCAAUACACCUGAAACCAACUAUUUAUUAACAAUUAUUCAAUACAGCAGAGUAUAGUACACGGACACUGAAUAAUUUUUAAACAACCAGAGUAAGCAAACAACAUGAAGAAUAGUAAGAAUCAUAAUGUAAAACCAAAAAAUCCCUAAACUUUUGAUAGAUAGCUAGUGAUCUAAGAAUAUUAAAUCCAAAAACAAAACCUGCAGAUUUUGAGAAAUACCAAACGAAAAUUGUAGAAAUAUAAAGGAAGAUGAGUGGAGGAAGAAGAAAACCAUUGUUGUCGUUCGAAAUCUGACCCUAACGCCCAAAACAUCUUCAAAUAUGUGUUCUACCGAACUUUCUAUUCUCCUCUUAGCUUACGCGGCAUUAAUUCUUGCAUUCCUGCAGGAUGUUUUAGGGUUUAAGAGAUUAAGAGGAAAGAGCAUACUAAUAGAAAAACUGUAAACUCAGAAAACCUAGAUCUAUUGUUUAACGAGAAAAGAGAGAAAACCUGAACCAUCAGCGUUGUCAUGUCCCAUCGCGUAUUCAGUUGUAUUUGCCGUUAAUGUUCCAAUCAAUCUUCGACAAAGCAGUGGAUUGAUCGGAUCUUGAAAGGAGAGGUAUAUACUUCAGGUUCGAAGAGAGAUUGGGAAAGAAGUUUUUUUUCUUUUUAAUAAUUUUGGGAAAGAAUGAUCUGAGAGCAAAAGAUUUAAGAGUAACUGCAAAAGAAAGAAGAAAAAAUUGAAAGCAAAGAGGGGGAAAAGUAAAGUGAAAAGCGGGGAAAACAAAAUUUGGAGAGCGCUUGGUGAAUUU